rnacentral:rRNA from 1 species
UACGUAGGGGGCAAGCGUUGUCCGGAAUCAUUGGGCGUAAAGCGCGUGUAGGCGGCCCGAUAAGUCCGCUGUGAAAGUCCAGGGCUCAACCCUGGAAUGCCGGUGGAUACUGUCGGGCUCGAGUCCGGAAGAGGCGAGUGGAAUUCCUGGUGUAGCGGUGGAAUGCGCAGAUAUCAGGAGGAACACCGAUGGCGAAGGCAGCUCGCUGGGACGGUACUGACGCUGAGGCGCGAAAGCGUGGGGAGCGAACAGG